rnacentral:rRNA from 1 species
CGGGUGAGUAAUACAUCGGAACGUGUCUUCUAGUGGGGGAUAACUGCCCAAAGGGCAGCUAAUACCGCAUGAGACCUGAGGGUGAAAGCGGGGGAUCGCAAGACCUCGCGCUGGAAGAGCGGCCGAUGUCCGAUUAGCUAGUUGGUGAGGUAAAGGCUCACCAAGGCGACGAUCGGUAGCUGGUCUGAGAGGACGACCAGCCACACUGGGACUGAGACACGGCCCAG